UCUUUAAAUAAGGACUAGUAUCAACGGCAUCACGAGGGUUACACUGUCUCCUUUCUCCAAUCAGUGAAACUGAUCUUCCCGUGAAGAAGCGGGAAUAUAACCAUAAGACGAGAAGACCCCAUGGAGCUUUAAAUUUUAUAGCAACUCAGUCAAAUAAACCCUUAUAAUCCACAGAGCAUGCAUGCCAAUUUUAGGUUGGGGUGACCGCGGAGUAAAAAUUAACCUCCACGACGAAAAGAACUAGAUCUUUAUCUAAGAGCUACAGCUCUAAGAAUUAGUAUACUAACGACAAUGACCCGAUAAUCGAUCAACGGACUAAGUUACCCUGGGGAUAACAGCGCAAUCUACUUCGAGAGCUCAUAUCGACAAGUAGGCUUACGACCUCGAUGUUGGAUCAGGGUAUCCCAGUGGUGCAGCCGCUACUAAUGGUUC
rnacentral:rRNA from 1 species